GAACCUAAAGUUUUUAUUAAAACAACAAAAAGCUACCUAUAACUAUAAGAUUUCACGUUAUAGAACUGAACAUGUAGGGCAUGUGAGACUUACUAGGGAUUCAAAACGUAUCUGACAUGACGAGUUUUUUUUUUUUUUUUUUUGUGAAAUUAAUCUAGUAAAAUAAAAACUGAAUGAUAAUAUAAAUAAAAUAAAUUAUAUAUGUGUACUGUAUAUAUGUAUUGUUAUAUAUAUAUAUAUAUAUAUAUAUAUAUAUAUAUAAAAGCAAGAUUGAGAGAAGCUUUGAAUUUGUGUUACAAAGAGAACAUAUG
rnacentral:lncRNA from 1 species